rnacentral:rRNA from 1 species
UACGUAGGGUGCGAGCGUUGUCCGGAUUUAUUGGGCGUAAAGAGCUCGUAGGCGGUCUGUUGCGUCGGCUGUGAAAACCCGAGGCUCAACCUCGGGCCUGCAGCCGAUACGGGCAGACUAGAGUUCGGCAGGGGAGACUGGAAUUCCUGGUGUAGCGGUGAAAUGCGCAGAUAUCAGGAGGAACACCGGUGGCGAAGGCGGGUCUCUGGGCCGAUACUGACGCUGAGGAGCGAAAGCGUGGGGAGCGAACAGG